rnacentral:lncRNA from 1 species
UAUAUUUUACUUUUCAGAGUUUCAAAAAAAAGUUAUAUUCCAAUUUGCUGAAAUUAACAACAUUUUAGUAGAUAUAACUGCACAGUUCUCUAAUGAUCCAGAAGAAGGUUUUACACAACGUAAAAUUUCAGAUGAACUUAAUGUUUUGAAAAGAAAAAUUGCAAAUAUAGAUAUCCAAUACAUCGCUUUUGUAUUAGUAAAACAGUUAUCAUUAAUUAGCGGUAAAAAAUCGAGUAGAUACAAUUAAAUAUAUUUUGCUCUUACUACCAACAGACACUAUUUUGUCCGAAUACAGCAUGAAUGGUCUAAAGAAGAAAAAAAAGUUUAAAGAAUUGACAAGUCUAUGUAAUGCUGAAACUGCUUUAAAGUCAAAUAAAAACAAAAUGGAUGCCAUCCAUCCAACUUAUUGGGAGAGUAAUUAGGAAUUCUUCUGACCGAUUAAAGAAAACAUCCACUAAUAUGAAUAUCGAUCAAUGAUCGGCUUAAUUAGCUGUUGUAUUUUUUAUUUAUUUUCCAUUUUUCAGCAAUUUUCUUCUAUUUAUA